AUGACGCUCUGCGCUUGCCCAAUGGGCUUGAAAUUCUCUUUUCCUCUCUCUGCCCCUUUCCCCACUCACACACUCUCUCUCCAAAUGAAUAAAUACAAUCUCAGAAAAAAAAAAAAAAGGAAAAGAAAGAAAGGUGGCAGUAUUUUUCAUGAAUACAAUUUUCCUGUCUUUCCUCCCCAGCGGAACCGAGAGUUAGAAUUGUAUGAAAAUCAGAAGUGCUUCUUGUUGUUUUUGAGAUUCCUUGCCCAUUCUAUUGUAGAGCAUCUGAAGAGCCAGCAAAAGGUCAGAGUGGCAGAAGCACAAAGAACAGAGAGGAGUGUAACCCCAGAUAUGAGGUAGAGUACUGUCCUUUUGCUGGGGAUAGAGCAGUCAGUGGUGGGGUAUGGGGUGGAGAUAGACAAUAAAUAGAAGAAAACUCAGUAGGUAAUCACACCAGGAGGUGAAAAAUGCUAUGAUGAAAAAUGAAAGGAAGUAGGAUGGAAAGAAUAGUGGGAGUAUGUAGCUACUAUUUUUUAAAUUAUAAUUUAACUUGAUUUUACUUUAAAGAUUUUAUUUAUUUGAGAGAGAGAGAGAGAGAGCCUGCAUGAGUGAGGAGAGAGGCAGAGAGGGAGAAGCAGACUCCCUGCUGAACAUAGAGCCUGAUAGGGAGCUCAAUUCUAGUACCCUGAGAUCAUGAUCUGGGCCAAAGUCAGACACUUAACUGACCAAGCCACCCAGGCACCUUGGUAGCUGCUAUUUUAGAUAGGCAGGCAGGGAAGACAUCUCUGGUGAAGUGAUAUUUGAGCAAAGACCUGGUGUUUUACAGAUAAGAAAGUUCAGAGAGGUAAAGCAACUUUCCUAAAGUUAUAAGGAAGACAUAGUAUACAAUUUGUUUCUUUUUUUUAAGAUUUUACUUUUUACAUCAUCUCUACAAUCAACUUGGGGCUGGAACUCACAACCUCAGUAUCAAGAGUCACAUGUUCUUCUGACUAAGCCAGCUAGCUGACUCUCUUUUGUUUCUUUCUUUUUUUUUUUUUUUAAGUUUUAAAAUUUAUAUAGUCUUUACACCCAGCAGGGGCUUGAACACACAACCCCAAGAUCAAGAGUCACAUGCUCUUCUGACCAAGCCAGCCAGGUGCCCCUAAAUUUGUUUCUUUGAUUCAAAAGCCACUAUAAAUGGUACUUCCCUCUGUAGGGAGUAUACCUCAAUGUUUCAGAAACCCUUUGAGUUCAGUUCCCAACUGUUAGCUUGGCUAUCUUGACCCUAUCCCUUGCACCAAAACAUUUCUAAGAGGUAAGACUUAUAUAAGAGAUUUUUGUAUGCUUUGAAUUUCAGUGGCAAUAGGGACAGAAAGAUUUGCUUUGAGGAUGUGCUGGGGAUUGUUUUGGAAGUCAUUUCUUAACUCUAAAGUCUAAAUCUAGGUUUUGGUGUCCUUAAGCUCUACUCAGGAAGGUGAACACCCCCUUGAAAGAGCUGGAGCUG
rnacentral:lncRNA from 1 species